GGUCUGUUUUAAUACCUGUGCUUCCCCCUCUGGGGCCCUCAACCUCUCACAAAAUGGCAUUGAAGCUGCUUCCACACAUGACUGGGUAUCUUCGGCCCUGGGCCUCUUCAAAUCAGGCAACUUCCACUGGCUGUCAGGGUGAUGCAUGAAAUCCCUAGAGAAGAGAGGAAAAGGACCACGGCAGGGAGCCUCCUCAAGUGGGAACCACUGAGAUAAACUCAUUAUCCGUUGGCAGAGAGGGUUUCUCACUCUAUUGCCCAGGCUGAUGUGCAGUAGCCAUUCACUGGUGAGAUCAUCAUGCACUACAGCAUCAAACUCCUGGCCUCAAGUGAUCCUCCUGCCGCAGCCUCCGAAGUAGCUGGGAUUACAGGUGCAGUCUUUGCAAGCCACAUUUGGAACUUUUGAGUCCAUCUUGAGAAGCUCCCAACAUAAACAAGACCUCACAGAGAAAGCUGUGAAGCAAGGGGAGAGUGAGGUCAGCCGGAUAAGCGAAGUGCUGCAGAAACUCCAGAAUGAGAUUCUCAAAGACCUCUCAGAUGGGAUCCAUGUGGUGAAGGACGCCCGGGAGCGGGACUUCACGUCCCUGGAGAACACGGUGGAGGAACGGCUGACGGAGCUCACCAAAUCCAUCAAUGACAACAUCGCCAUCUUCACAGAAGUCCAGAAGAGGAGCCAGAAGGAGAUCAAUGAUGUGAAGGCAAAGGUUGCCUCCCUGGAAGAAUCUGAGGGGCACAAGCAGGAUUUGAAAGCCUUAAAGGAAGCUGUGAAGGAGAUACAGACUUCAGCCAAGUCCAGAGAGUGGGACAUGGAGGCCCUGAGAAGUGCC
rnacentral:sRNA from 1 species